AUGAGCUCGCGGCCUAUCAGCUUUGUUGGUGGGGUAAUGGCCUACCAAGGCGGCGACGGGUAGCCGGCCUGAGAGGGUGUACGGCCACAUUGGGACUGAGAUACGGCCCAGACUCCUACGGGAGGCAGCAGUGGGGAAUAUUGCACAAUGGGCGCAAGCCUGAUGCAGCGACGCCGCGUGGGGGAUGAAGGCCUUCGGGUUGUAAACUCCUUUCGCUAGGGACGAAGCUUUGUGUGACGGUACCUAGAUAAGAAGCACCGGCUAACUACGUGCCAGCAGCCGCGGUAAUACGUAGGGUGCGAGCGUUGUCCGGAAUUACUGGGCGUAAAGAGCUCGUAGGUGGUUUGUCGCGUCGUCUGUGAAAUUCUGGGGCUUAACUCCGGGCGUGCAGGCGAUACGGGCAUAACUUGAGUGCUGUAGGGGUAACUGGAAUUCCUGGUGUAGCGGUGAAAUGCGCAGAUAUCAGGAGGAACACCGAUGGCGAAGGCAGGUUACUGGGCAGUUACUGACGCUGAGGAGCGAAAGCAUGGGUAGCGAACAGGAUU
rnacentral:rRNA from 1 species